UUUGGCGAGGCGCCUUCCGAGUGCCCUGGAACGGGACGCCACAGAGGGUGAGAGCCCCGUAUGGUUGGACGCCGAGCCUCUGUAAAGCUCCUUCGACGAGUCGAGUAGUUUGGGAAUGCUGCUCAAAAUGGGAGGUAAACCCCUUCUAAAGCUAAAUACUGGCCAGAGACCGAUAGCGCACAAGUAGAGUGAUCGAAAGAUGAAAAGCACUUUGAAAAGAGAGUUAAACAGCACGUGAAAUUGUUGAAAGGGAAGCGCUUGCGACCAGACUUGUGCCCGUCGAAUCAGCCGCCGCUCGUCGGCGGCGCACUUCGGCGGGCUCAGGCCAGCAUCAGUUCGCUGCAGGGGGAGAAAGGCGAUGGGAAUGUGGCUCUUCGGAGUGUUAUAGCCCGCCGCGCAAUACCCCUCGGCGGACUGAGGACCGCGCAUCUGCAAGGAUGCUGGCGUAAUGGUCGUCAGCGACCCGUCUUGAAACACGGACCAAGGAGUCGUCCUAAUAUGCGAGUGUUCGGGUGUAAAACCCCUGCGCGUAAUGAAAGUGAACGGAGGUGAGAGCUUCGGCGCAUCAUCGACCGAUCCUGAUGUUCUCGGAUGGAUUUGAGUAAGAGCAUAUUGGGCCGGACCCGAAAGAAGGUGAACUAUGCCUGUAUAGGGUAAAGCCAGAGGAAACUCUGGUGGAGGCUCGCAGCGGUUCUGACGUGCAAAUCGAUCGUCAAAUAUGGGCAUGGGG
rnacentral:rRNA from 1 species